GAUGAAGAACGUAGUGAAAUGCGAUAAGUAAUGUGAAUUGCAGAAUUCAGUGAAUCAUCGAAUCUUUGAACGCACCUUGCACCCUUUGGUAUUCCGAAGGGUAUGCUCGUUUGAGUGUCAUUGUACUCUCACACUUCUAAUUCCUUUCGGGAUUGGGAGCGGUGGACUUGGGUGUUGCUGCUUUAGUUGUGGCUCACCUCAAAUAAGUUAGUGCAACUCUUGGUUGGACAUAGUACGGCGUGAUAAGUGUCUUCGCCGGCGCCUCUGUAAGGAGGGUGGCCGAUCGGGAGCUCUGUGCUUCAAACCGUCUUCGGACAAUCUUUGACAACUUGACCUCAAAUCGAGUAGGACUACCCGCUGAACUUAAGCAUAUCAAUAAGCGGAGG
rnacentral:misc_RNA from 1 species